UUUUUUUAAGCUUAAUUAUGAUAUAAUGAUAAAUUUAAUUUUUAUUUUUUUGUCAUUUUUAUUAUUUUUAUUAUAACUUUAGCUCUUUGAGUCUUCAAGUUUUAAGUAAAUUAUUAUUUUUUUUAACUGAUCGAAUUAUUGAAUUUUCAAUAGCAUUGUUUGUGACAAUUGGGAUGUCAAUUUUUAUGUACUUCAUUACCUACGUGGAUAUUUUUCUUUGGCAUUUUAUGAACUUAGUUGAAAGUUUUUGAAUUUUUCAUUUUUUAUAAAGUACAUACUGGUUAUCAC
rnacentral:lncRNA from 1 species